CCCACUGCUAUCGGGAUAGGACUAAGACAUGCUAGUCGAGCGCCUCCCAGCCACGACGGAGGCGCGGCGCACAGCUCAGUAACACGUGGCUAACCUGCCCUCGGGACGGGAAUACCCCCGGGAAACUGGGGCUAAUUCCCGAUAGGUGAAGAACUCUGGAAUGAGUCUCCGCCCAAAAGACGCUUAAAUCAUGCUUUUAGGCGCCGCCCAAGGAUGGGGCCGCGACCGAUCAGGUAGUUGGUGAGGCAACGGCUCACCAAGCCUUUAACCGGUGCGGGCCGUGGGAGCGGGAGCCCGGAGAUGGGCACUGAGACAAGGGCCCAGGCCCUACGGGGCGCAGCAGUCGCGAAAACUUUGCAAUACACGAAAGUGUGACAGGGCUAUCCCGAGUGCCAUCCGCUGAGGAAGGCUUUUACCCAGUCUAGAAAGCUGGGAGAAUAAGGAGAGGGCAAGUCUGGUGUCAGCCGCCGCGGUAAUACCAGCUCUCCGAGUGGUGUGGAUGUUUAUUGGGCCUAAAGCAUCCGUAGCUGGCCAAGUUAGUCCCCUGUUAAAUCCACCGAAUUAAUCGUUGGAGUGCGGGGGAUACUGCUCGGCUAGGGGACGAGAGAGGCCGACGGUAUUUUCGGGGUAGGGGUGAAAUCCUAUAAUCCCGGGAAGACCACCAGUGGCGAAGGCUGUCGGCUAGAACGCGCCCGACGGUGAGGGAUGAAAGCUGGGGGAGCGAACCGGAUUAGAUACCCGGGUAGUCCCAGCUGUAAACGAUGCAGGCUAGGUGUUUGGGCGGCCACGGGCCGCUCUAGUGCCGCAGGGAAGCUGUUAAGCCUGCCGCCUGGGGAGUACGGCCGCAAGGCUGAAACUUAA
rnacentral:rRNA from 1 species